rnacentral:rRNA from 1 species
AUUGAACGCUGGCGGCAGGCUUAACACAUGCAAGUCGAGCGAACGGCGGACGGGUGAGCAAUGUAUGGGAAACUGACUGCUGGACGGUGCUAACUACUGGAAACGGUAGCUAAUACCGCAUACCAUCAGUUGCGCCCAGAGUGGAUUAGCUGGUAGGUGGGGUAUGGGCUCACCUAGUCGACGAUCCCUAGCCGGUCCGAGAGGAUGACCAGCCACAAUGGAACUGGGACACGGUCCAGACUCCUACGGGAGGCAGCAGUAGGGAAUAUAGCACAAUGGGCGCAAGCCUGAUGGAGCCAUGCCGCGUGUAUGAAGAAGGCCUUCGGGUUGUAAAGCACUGUCAGCGAGGAGGCGUUACUCGCAGAAGAAGCACCGGCUAACUACGUGCCAGCAGCCGCGGUAAUUC